rnacentral:rRNA from 1 species
GACAGUAUGCCUAUCAGUGGAUGGCUCGGUUCGAGUGCCGAAGAAGGGC